rnacentral:misc_RNA from 1 species
GAUGAAGAACGUAGCGAAAUGCGAUAAGUAAUGUGAAUUGCAGAAUUCAGUGAAUCAUCGAAUCUUUGAACGCACCUUGCGCCUUUUGGUAUUCCGAAAGGCACACCUGUUUGAGCGUCAUGAAUACCUCAAUCUCCAUCUUUUCUUCGGAUUGAUGGGUGACUUGGAUGUUGAGCCCUGCUGGUAUGCUAUAUCAGCUGGCUUUAAACUUAUUAGCCGGCUCUGUACUGGAUCGGUUUGACUCGACGUGAUAAUAUUAUCGUUGAGGAUGCAUGUCUCAUGCAGCCGGAAAGUAUCAAAACAGCUUCUAGCUUGCCUUUAGUGCACUUUUACAUUUUAGACCUCAGAUCAGGUGGGACUACCCGCUGAACUUAAGCAUAUCAAUAAGCGGAGGA